GACGCCGGAAACAGCUCGGUGUCAUGGAGUCGCGGACGGAGCGUAGCUGUUGACACGGCGAAACGCGGCGGAAGCGGGAGCGGGACGAGGCCGAAGGAGAGUAACGCUGCGGGGACCAGGAGCCUCUCGUCUUCCCCCGCAGCCGGAGCGUCGCUGGGCGGACAUGGAGCAGGGCGCGGCGGCGGGGCGAAGGUGUCAGCUGCUGGACCUGCCGUGGGAGGACGUGCUGGUCCCACACGUGUUGUGCUACCUCCCCCUGCGCCAGCUCAUCAGCCUUCAGCGGGUCAGCAAGCCCUUCCAGAGCCUCGUCAAGGUGUACCUGGCCAACUGCCGCACGUUGGAUCUCGCGCAGAUAGGACCCUGCGUUCCUAAGGCGGCCUUCUGCAGCAUGCUGAAGGACAACAAAGUGCUCCAGAACUUAUCUCUCCACAACUGCUCCGAUUGGGUGACGGACAAGGAGCUGCUGCCCGUGAUUGGUCAGAAUCAGCACCUGCUGCGCAUCGACAUGAGGGGCUGCGUGCGACUGAGCCGCCACUCGCUUGUGGCCGUGUCGCUCAGCUGCUCGCACCUGCGGCACCUGGGCCUGGCGCAUUGCGAGUGGGUGGACAGCCUGUCUCUGCGCAGCCUGGCCGACCACUGCGGGGGGCUGCAGUCCGUCGACCUGACCGCCUGCCGCCAGCUCAAGGACGAGGCCGUCGGCUACUUGGCCAGAAAGUGCCCCAAGCUGCGGUCCCUGUCGGUAGCGGUCAACGCCAACAUCACGGACGUGUCCGUGGAGGAGGUGGCCAAGAACUGCAGGGAGCUGGAGGACCUGGACUUGACAGGCUGCCUGCGGGUUCGCAACGAGUCCAUCGGGACCGUUGCGGAGUACUGCCCCAAGCUCCAGUCCCUCAAGGUGAACCACUGUCACAAUGUGACCGAAUCGAGCCUGGGGAUCCUGCGCAGGCGCAACGUCGCCAUAGACGUGGAACCCCCCCUGCAGAGGGCGCUGGUCCUGCUGCAGGAUGUGGUGGGCUUUGCACCCUUCAUCAACCUCCAGAUCUAGGCGCAAAGUGAGCAGCGUCGCCGAUCCUCUGAGUCCGUCGCCGUUUCGAGGGUUGUAACACACUGCAUUGGUGGUGAGUUUAGGAGCGCUGGCGUACGGACGGAGGAACGGGACAGAGCGACGAUGCGUCGGCCGUCUUCGGGUUCAGUGGGUUAUUGUGAAUUUCUGCAUUUGCACGAAGCUGCAGGACUCGCACGCACUUAUUGAGCACACUUGGGUAAAACGAAUGCAUUAGUCUCAUUCCGUGUCACGUAGACAUCCAAGUCCUGAAACCUGUAGCUUUAACUUUAAAAUGAUUUUAGCGGAAGAAACGACCAAAGUGAGCUUCGCACUGCAAAAGAAAAUUCUAGUACUGUUGGUUAGACAGGAAUUUAAUUCUGUACCGUAAAUAUAGGAAAUAAGCUUUCACACUUUUUUUUCAAAUAAGCUUUUCAACUUUUUGUGCGAAGAUUGUGCAAUCUUGACGUGAUUGUAAUUUCAGAUUCUUGUUAAUGUACUGUACUCGGUGUGUAGCGGGUUAUGACUGCAAGCAUUAAGUUGAACUCUGGAUUCUCAGGUACCAAGCGAAUACGAAAUGGUACUUUUUAUAAACCACUGCGUGACUCUGAGGAUUUGCAUAGCUCUCAUUAAAUUGGGAACCUUUUAACAUCACGUGAACAUAAGCGAGCAAAUCAUUCAGGACUACUAAUACCGACUUUGUGAUCUUGAACUACAUCUGCAUUUAUUAAGUAUUGUUGAAGCUUUCACUGCAUCUUUAGUGUUUUUCCUGAACGAAAUUAGCCGCAGCCAGUAUUGCAAUACAUUUCAGUCACUCGGUGUAACACUAAAAUGUAACAAUGAUCUAUUCAUUGAGCUGUUAGUUAAACAAAAAAGACAUUCUGAUUUUUUCUGUUAUCCACGUUGGAUCUGUUUAUACCUUCCAAAGAGACGUGCAUGAUCUGUGCCAUAUUUCAGUUACUCACACUCUAAUUGCUAUAAUUGGUAAAAGCUCAAUACCACAGUGUGACAACAGUUUCAAAGUAGUUAUGCACACAGUAAAUCGUGUUUUUAGCUUGUAGGAAGGUUGCCCUAUAACUACAACAUACACCUGGCUCUGUGAAGAUUUGUCGAACCAUUUAUGACUGCGGUGUGUGUGUGUUCCCCAGGUUAAAUUCGAGCGAGAAGGAGGAGUUUAAUGUGACAAGACUCACAUUUGAGGGAGACAUUAUUAACAUUUUUAUCAUUAACUCUCACAGUAUUUUGCAGUUUGAUACCCGACUGAAUAAAACGUGAUCCACCUUUAUUUCCGCAAGGUGCUCCGAAGAGAUUGUUUGUUAAUAUGAAGUAACGAGGCACAAAAAGGAAACAUGGAAUAUUCCAGAAAUAACGUCUCUGAGGUUUAUUUAAGUUGCAGGAAAGAUGUAAUUUUUUUAUUAGUGUGUAGCACUUGAGGCCUGUUUAUUUGGCAACACCCUGUCUGUCUUAUGGGAAUAUAAAUAAAAAUUGGUGCACUUCCUUGGGUGUUGUAGCGAUGCGCUGGUAACAUAAAUAAAAGGAUGAAGUGGCGAUUAUCAACCUGUUUCCACAUGUAUCUUUCAAGUUGUAAGGGUGUGUGUGGUUUUGAGUGUGUUUCUAAGGAUGCCUGGAGGAGGUAGAGUGAAUCCACUGGACAGGGACUGGGAACUGGGUGACACUAACUAUAGCGCCCCCCAAUGGACAUG